AUUGAACGCUGGCGGCAGGCCUAACACAUGCAAGUCGAGCGGAUGAUGGGAGCUUGCUCCUUGAUUCAGCGGCGGACGGGUGAGUAAUGCCUAGGAAUCUGCCUGGUAGUGGGGGACAACGUUUCGAAAGGAACGCUAAUACCGCAUACGUCCUACGGGAGAAAGCAGGGGACCUUCGGGCCUUGCGCUAUCAGAUGAGCCUAGGUCGGAUUAGCUUGUUGGUGAGGUAAUGGCUCACCAAGGCGACGAUCCGUAACUGGUCUGAGAGGAUGAUCAGUCACACUGGAACUGAGACACGGUCCAGACUCCUACGGGAGGCAGCAGUGGGGAAUAUUGGACAAUGGGCGAAAGCCAGAUCCAGCCAUGCCGCGUGUGUGAAGAAGGUCUUCGGAUUGUAAAGCACUUUAAGUUGGGAGGAAGGGUUGUAGAUUAAUACUCUGCAAUUUUGACGUUACCGACAGAAUAAGCACCGGCUAACUCUGUGCCAGCAGCCGCCGUAAGAC
rnacentral:rRNA from 1 species